GCUGUUUUGACGCUCUGGGUGGAUCCACCUCCAGAAACACUGAUGCUGAUGAUAAAUACUGCUGUCACCUCGAUCAGAUCACAUUCACUGCUUCAUCAUGGACAUCGAUCUGUGCUCAGCUGCUGAGGGUGAUGAGGUGAAGAAGCAGGAGGGCAACGAGGUGGAGUCUGGAAAAAAGGAUGAAGAUAAAGAUAAAGGUCAAGAAGAUAAAGAUAAAGAGUGCAAGGACAAAGACAAGGACAAAGAUAAUGACAAGGCGAAGAGUGAUUGCAAAGAAAAGAAAAAAGACAAAGAGUGCAAAGACAAAGAUAAGGACAAGUGCAAAGACAAGAGUGAUUCUAAGCAUAAGGAUGAACACAAAAAACACAAAGAUAAAGAACAUAAAGACAAAGGCAAGAAGAAGAAGAAAGACAAGGAACACAAGAAGAAGGGCGGUGGCAAGUCCUCCUCUUCCUCCAGCGAUUCAGACUGAAGCAAGAUUCAUCAGAUACCUCCAGAAACAUAAUGUAAAAAUCUUUAUUGUAUGAUUAUAUGACAAUCUCUUGAAGUGUUCAUUAAGUUAUUGAGCUGUAAUUCCAAACUUCCACAAGGUGGCGCUACCUACAUGUCAAAUCUUCAAUGAAACACUGGAAUAAAGAGACUUAUCUGCUAUUUUUGUAAAACUGUUUGCUGGUUUAAUAAAUUCUGAUGUUUGAAAUAGUUAUUUUUAUCCAUUUUGUCUCGUAUUAGCUUUCAGUGGUUGCUGGUUAGUGAGCUAUUAGUGUUUUGAUAAAUCUUGGCCGGU
rnacentral:lncRNA from 1 species